UAAAGAGCGCACUACGUCACUUCCUGCUCCAGCCGCUGGACAGCCAGUAAAAUCCGAGCUGAGUCAUGUGAUGGGGCGUGGCCUGUGCCUUGUGCGGCGCAGUUAGGCGGCCAUCUUAGUACACUCAUCAGCAGUGUCGGCCAUAAUAAAUCUGUGGUCAAACAAUUACACAAGAACCAGGAUUCUUCGUGAGAACAACUUCUGCUUUUAUUGUGUCGUCACGUGGAAGCUGAGAUUUCGUACAAACAAAAGUGAAAGCUUUUACGGUUACAAAGAAACGAUCCAUCCACGUGGUUAGUAACGUAAAUGUUCUUCAUGCAAACAAUGUAGAGAACAUAGGAAGUGACGGAAACAAUGUCAAUUAUCUGACAAUACAAGAUUAAAAGUGAUCAGUGCAGAAUAGAACUAGUGAUCCCCUAUAACUACAGUCACCGAGGGGUCCGGGGCAGAACUCCUAAUCAGCCCCCGCUGAUCUGCCAUUUAGAUCAGAGUUUCCCCAACCAGGGUGCCUCCAGCUGUUGCAAAACUACAACUCCCAGCAUGCCCGGACCGCCAACAGUAAUGUACUGUACACAGAAUCAAUACAAUGUAAGGGCUGUAUUUAACAGAAAUAGAAUAUUGGUUAGAUGUAAGAAAACUAUCAAUAGUCUUUGAAGCUUAACCCCUUCAUGACCCAGUCCGGGUUUUUUUUCAAAUCUGACAUGUGUCCCUUUAAGUGGUAAUAACUUUGAACUGCUUUUACCUGGCAAAGUGAUUCAGAGAUUGGUUUUUUGAGACAUAUUGUACUUUAUAUUCGUGGAAAAUUUUUGUUGAUACAUGAAGCGAUUUUUGUG